UACGUAGGUGACAAGCGUUGUCCGGAUUUACUGGGCGUAAAGAGCGCGCAGGCGGUCGAUCAAGUCGAGUGUGAAAGCCCCCGGCUCAACUGGGGAGGGUCAUUCGAAGCUGGUCGACUCGAGGGCAGGAGAGGGUAGUGGAAUUCCCGGUGUAGUGGUGAAAUGCGUAGAUAUCUGGAGGAACACCGGUGGCGAAGGCGGCAUCCUGGACCGGCAUUGACGCUGAGGAGCGAAAGCCAGGGGAGCAAACGGG
rnacentral:rRNA from 1 species